AAUAAAUAUAUCAAAAAAUCUCUCCCUUUUUCUGAAGGGGACCGGGGGAAGAAUUCCAUUGUCAAAGCAAAGGGGAAAUCCUUAUUUCUUUUUUCUUUCCUUUUGGUAGGAGAAAGACAUAUGCGGUUGGAUUAGUACAAUUAUUGGUAGCAUUAUAGUCAGUAUUCCAAGAAAUGCUGGCUUUUUCGAUUGCCCCCGAUGCAUGUAAUGGAAUCGAGUACUAUACUUUUUUGAGGCGCGCAUACACAAAAGGAAUUCCUUUGUUGUCCAAUACAAAAUUGAAUAUAAGAAAAUACUUUCCAGAAAAAACAAAAAAAAAAAAAAACAAUUUCUUUUUCUGGCUACGGAUUUAUGGAACCUGACUUACUAGUUUGAAGUUGCAAAAUAGAUUUCAUGCAAAUUGCACACUGAGCUUUUGGUAUAGGUGUCCCGGGGCUAAUAAUCGACGAAGAAAGGAGGGGGAAGGACAGAUCAACCAAAGAUCCUACUCCUCUUAGAAAGGCGAAUGAAUCAUUUUUCCUAUUUUUCAUUUUGUUUUAAGGCCCCAUCGACGAACGAACAAAUCGGAAAAUAGUCAAUUUGAUGAAUAUUCAUUUUAUACGGUCUCAUCUUUAUCACACUUCUUUGUCUUCCAAGUCAAAAAUAGUUUCGUUCUAAACUCCUUUCUUUUUCCAUUUAGCUUUUAUUGUUUGUUUGGGUUUGUAACUAUGUGACCACUGGAAGUGGAAGAGCUAUUUGAUGAGACUUCAUCAGAUGAUUGUACAAGAAGGAACUAGAUAGAUUAGAGAGAAAAAAAGAACAGAUAAUAAAAAAUGAUAAAUAAAUAAAGGAAUUUUGGGUUAGGUCAGCAAUCCGAGUUUGGGGCGGUAUGGAUAAAAGAACUUCCUAUGUUAUACUAUUCAAUUCUCGACGACGAAUUUAUUUGAUAGUUCAGAUAUUGUUAUUCAUGAUAUUGAUCUGAUUCAAGAUCAUCGAGAGGUAAUAUUCAUUCAUUGAAUUUACAGGCCAAAGAUUUAUCAUCUCUAUGGGAUUAAAUCCCGAGUUAUUGCGAAGUAAAAAACCGAUGAGAUUAUGGAAGUAAAUAUUCUUGCAUUUAUUGCUACUGCACUAUUUAUUCUAGUUCCUACCGCUUUUCUACUUAUCAUUUAUGUAAAAACAGUCAGUCAAAACGAUUAAUUAUUAACUAAUUUGAAUGAAACUUGACUUCUGAGUUCUUAGCCAAAAUUGACGAAAUAAAAUGAAAAAGAUUCCAAUUUCAUGUCUUAAAUGAAAUGAGUGGACUAGAAUCGGCAGUAUUCUAAUAGAUAGAUAGUAUGGUAGAAAGAUUCAUCUAUUUCUUUCUACCAUACUAUUUAUUAGUUAGAUUCUUGUUAUAAAGCUGCCCCCUGGAAUAAAAUAAAGAUAGAGGCUGCAUUUGAUAUGGAUCUAUAUAUCAAUCUACAAUAUUAUCUUGAUAUAUGUGAAUAUCAAUUCCAUAUAUGGGAUUGACAUAGCAUCCAAUUCCAUUUAUUUGCUAUAUCUAUUUGUUCUGAUCAAUCUGAAUUACUCCUAUGUCUUAUAGUUUGAAUUACUAUAUUUUUGAUUUCCAAUAUGAAUCUCAGUAUCUAUUGAGAGAAUCAAAUCAAUGAAGCAAAAGCGAUAGAUAUAGGCAUAUUCAAAAAAUCACGUAGUAAUCUUUUUUUUUUUAACAUUCCUAAGAAGUAAACCAUUGACAGUAGUUCCACGGGCAUCGAAAAGGAAGAGUAAACCUCACUGAUUUUUAAGGCCUGAACCAUGAUAUGAAAUAAGUCGAUAAAGUCUAAAUCCAAUUUCCAAAAUUCGAAAGGUAAAUGCGCAAUAUGUGACUCACCUGACGAUCUUAUUCUAAAUAGUAUCUCGUUAGACAACCACUAUGUUUAUAUCCUUUCUUUCUCAUACAAAGUGCGUAUACACUUAACAAAACCACUUUUUCUUUGAACAGUAAAGAGAGAACCAAAUAAAAAACGGGUCCGGCCCUCCUCAGUAUCACCUAGGAAGAGGCCAUUGAUUGGAAUAGAAAAUUUAGUAAGAAUUAGGUUCGAAUAAAUUUCCUGGGAUCCUUUUCCUUUCGAACUACAAACAUGGGAAUCGUUGAAAUAGCUCUUUGAUUGAAAGAGGCUGAUUCCUAUAAUACAUUACUCCAGUCGAGUCCAAUGGAAUUUCAAAAUGAAGAUAUUUUUAUUUUGUUCCAAACGUGUUGCAGAACCAUCUAGAAAGCAAUUGAUAAUGAUACAGUUUGCUUCCUUAACUCAAUUAGCAGAACCCCUAGAGUCCACUCCUUCCCCACACUACGAGUGAAAGGGAAAAAGUAAAGACUACCAUUAAAGCAGCCCAAGCAAGACUUACUAUAUCCAUAUGAAUUAUGUCCCCUAUCUCUAUAAAUAUAAAGGAAUUGUUCCAUUAUUCCUCACUAAUAAUAGUAGAAUCAAUGGCGCAGAGUCAAAAAGAACGAAGACUAUUAAUAAACCAAUCCAAUAAAUUC
rnacentral:lncRNA from 1 species